AACGGCCGUACCAUGCUGAAUAUACCGGUUCUCGUUAGAUCACCGAAGUCAAGCAUCAUUGGGCGCGGUCAGUACUUGGGUGGGGGACCACCUGGGAACACCGCG
rnacentral:rRNA from 1 species